ensembl:lncRNA
GUUUUAUAAAAGCACUGAAUGAUGAUGACGAGAACAUCAUUUUCCAAGUGCUUCCCAAGUGGAAGCCACUGUCAAGGAUCAGGAAGCAGCCUAUUCCCACCUUUUCAGCGAGGAGACUGCUCUUUGUGGGGAGACUGACCAGCGCACACCUCAGCUCUUUUGGUUCAUAACAUGAAUGGAGCAAGAGAGGGGAUCCUCAGCGCUGGAAACCACAGGAACGCUGGAAGCCACACGGCUCUGGGUGUGCUCCCUGCACCGCAACCUACCAUCGAGAUGAAAUAGAACGAGUGGCCCCACCCCUCGGAGCCUGGACUUCCCUCUGUGGACAUAAGAGGCCCUCUGUGACACGCGGUCAUUGCUCCAGACGUGUGAUGGCUCAUUAUGGGGUCAGGAUUGUAAAAAGAGGCAAUGCAGUGUUUGUCGCAGGCUCAAACGAGGGGUACCAGCAGGGAGAAGUCUGAGGAGACGCUCAGAGCGGUAAAGGCCUCAAGGCCCCGUGACGAAGAACUUCUGAAGGGUGACACGCUCAGUGUGGAGGAGACACGGUUCAGAGGACAAUAAAGCUGCCUUUACUUCAGAAGAGCUGUCACAUGGGAACCAGCACAGGCCUCUUCUGGGAGGCCCCGCAGCCUAGAACCACAGCUGGUAUGAGAAAUCAUAGGGAGAGAUUUCUGCUCAGAGGAAGAAGUCUCUGGCAGCCAGCAUCUUCCAAAGGUGGGAGAGGCUUGCUUGACUGGAGCGCGCUGCCCCCGGUGUGCUUAUGUCCACUGGUCAGGGGAGCCCAUAGUGAGUGGCCCUAGCAUCAGAUCAAAGACUGCUCUAGGUGGUCUCCAGGUGUUUCCUGGCCCUGCCUUUACAACUCUAAAAAGCCACGCAGCAACUCUCUCACAGUGGGAGAGCCUCCGCAGCCUCUGGGAGCUUGGGCGCAGAAGGCAGGACAGCUGGGAAGACGUCAAUCAAUCAAUCAGAACUACCAAAAACAGCAAUGCGUGCUGAAAAGUGGUCCUAAAAUCCCUUUAAUUUGUCCAGCCCUGUACAGCCUAUGAAACAUUUUCACACAGUGCCUCACCCACAACUCUGGGAGUGUUUACUGAACAGAUUCAAUGCUCCAGUCACUGUGACAAUCAGCUGGGAUGCCAAGAUGCAUAAUACACAGUCUUGCCUUCAAGGAGUUGCCGGUCAGGCUGGGAAAUACAGAAAUGUUCAAGAACGAAUCACAAAGUGUAUCAAUAGUGCAAAAAUAAAAAGACAGAAAAACCUGGGCCAGAGAAGAAAGGGCCUUCGCGGAGCUGUGCAGACACAACGCAAGAACACAUGCAACCAGCGCAAGGCAAGGCCGGCUGCGCUGCCUUAGAAUUCAGAGGAGAAGGCGCUCACCGCAGGCCGGGGCGGGCAGGGGAGGCAGCCUUGACCUCAGCCCUGAAGACCCGGCGCUCCUGGCCUCCUUCCCCGCCUCGGCAUCACCUGCUGCUGGAUUUCACCUUAAUAAUAGCUGGUAGCACGUACUGAGCACUUACAAUGUCGGGCUUUAUGAGCAUUUUCUCGUUAGUCUUCACAGAAAAUUAGAGUGUAUCCCCAGAGCCUAGAGAAAGAGUCUUUCACAGAAUGGGGACUCGAACCAUAUUGAAUGAAUGAAGGAAUGAGGAGGAGGAGCAAAACUGAGUUAGGCGUUACUAUUCACAUUUUCCAGGUCAAGAAUGUAAGGUUCAGAGAAGUGAAGUCUUGGACAGGUAUUAACCACCCGCUGAAGGAUCUAUGACUACUGGACACUUUCCAGGAGCUUCCAACAUGCUUAGACUUGUUUGUUAAAUUUGCGUGAAUAUGUGAUAUGGAUAUUCAUACAUUCACGCAAUCAUUCGUUCAUUUGUGAAUGUUAAUUAAAUGCCUCUAUGUACC